CAGAAUCCGGUUGAUCCUGCCGGACCUGACUGCUAUCGGAUUGAUACUAAGCCAUGCGAGUCAUUGUAGCAAUACAAGGCAGACGGCUCAGUAACGCGUAGUCAACCUAACCUAUGGACGGGAAUAACCUCGGGAAACUGAGAAUAAUGCCCGAUAGAACACUAUACCUGGAAUGGUUUGUGUUCCAAAUGAUUUAUCGCCGUAGGAUGGGACUGCGGCCUAUCAGUUUGUUGGUGAGGUAAUGGCCCACCAAGACUAUUACAGGUACGGGCUCUGAGAGGAGUAGCCCGGAGAUGGGUACUGAGACACGGACCCAGGCCCUAUGGGGCGCAGCAGGCGAGAAAACUUUGCAAUGUGCGAAAGCACGACAAGGUUAAUCCGAGUGGUUUCUGCUAAAGGAACCUUUUGUUAGUCCUAGAAACACUAACGAAUAAGGGGUGGGCAAGUUCUGGUGUCAGCCGCCGCGGUAAAACCAGCACCUCAAGUGGUCAGGAUGAUUAUUGGGCCUAAAGCAUCCGUA
rnacentral:rRNA from 1 species